rnacentral:rRNA from 1 species
AGCGAACGCUGGCGGCAGGCCUAACACAUGCAAGUCGAACGAACUCUUCGGAGUUAGUGGCGGACGGGUGAGUAACACGUGGGAACGUGCCUUUUGGUUCGGAAUAACUCAGGGAAACUUGUGCUAAUACCGAAUGUGCCCUUCGGGGGAAAGAUUUAUCGCGAUUAGAGCGGCCCGCGUCUGAUUAGCUAGUUGGGGAGGUAACGGCUCACCAAGGCGAGGAUCAGUAGAUGGUCAGAGAGGAUGAGCAGCCACACUGGGACUGAGACACGGCCCAGACUCCUACGGGAGGCAGGAGUGGGGGAUCUAGCGCAAUGGGCGAAAGCCUGACGGAGCCAUGCCGGGUGAAUGAUGAAGGUCUUAGGAUUGUAAAAUUCUUUCACCGGGGACGAUAAUGACGGUACCCGGAGAAGAAGCCCCGGCUAACUUCGUG